rnacentral:rRNA from 1 species
GACGAACGCUGGCGGCGUGCUUAACACAUGCAAGUCGAACGGAAAGGCCCUUCGGGGUACUCGAGUGGCGAACGGGUGGGUAACACGUGGGUGAUCUGCCCUGCACUUUGGGAUAAGCCUGGGAAACUGGGUCUAAUACCGAAUAGGACCACGCGCUUCAUGGUGUGUGGUGGAAAGCUUUUGCGGUGUGGGAUGGGCCCGCGGCCUAUCAGCUUGUUGGUGGGGUAAUGGCCUACCAAGGCGACGACGGGUAGCCGGCCUGAGAGGGUGACCGGCCACACUGGGACUGGGAUACGGCCCAGACUCCUACGGGAGGCAGCAGUGGGGAAUAGUGCACAAUGGGCGCAAGCCUGAUGCAGCGACGCCGCGUGGGGGAUGACGGCCUUCGGGUUGUAAACCUCUUUCAAUAGGGACGAAGCGAAAGUGACGGUACCUAUAGAAGAAGCACCGGCCAACUACGUG